rnacentral:snRNA from 1 species
CAGUGCUCACUUCAGCAGUACUAAAAUUGGAACGAUAACAAAGAUUAUUAUGGCCCCUGCACAAGGAUGACAUGCAAAUUCGUGAAGCAUUCCAUAUUUUU